rnacentral:rRNA from 1 species
CCCCUCGAUGUUCUGGGCCACACGCGCGCUACAAUGACGAGUUCAGCGAGUGGAAAACUCCUUGCCCGGAAGGGUGUGGGUAAUCUUUUCAAUGCUCGUCGUGCUGGGGCUAGAUUUUUGCAAUUAUUAAUCUUCAACGAGGAAUCUCUAGUAUGUGCGGUUCAUCAGACCGCGCAGAAUGCGUCCCUGCCCUUUGUACACACCGCCCGUCGCACCUACCGAUUGGACGAUCCGGCAAGAGGCUCAGAGUUGACCAUGUAGGAUUUUCGAAUCUUAAUUUGGUUGACAAAGUUCUUCAAACCUUAUUGUCUAGAGGAAGGUGAAGUCGUAACA